AUGGAAGUGUGCUCGAACUUCAGCAGCAUCAAAGACAUGCACAAAGAGGCAGAUGCUGUGGUGAAGAAGGCGACGACGGAGGAGUUGAAGUCGCUGAUUCCUUACCCAGCGAAGGGCGCUAUGUCAGUCGACACCCUUUGCUGGGCCAUGAAUCAGGCCGACUCUGGCGACACUGGACACAUGACAAGGUGGGCCAAGUACAGGGCUCCUCAUGACCAGCGUGUCGCAAUGUACUGGAAUAGUACUUUGGUGGCACUGGGGGUCAUUGGUUUGGAGCCGGAGGAGGAGGAAGAAGCGAUGGAGAUGGUUGUCAGAGCACUAGAGCCAGGCCACUUUACUUUGACAAUCGAUAUGGACUCGGGCGAGGACGACGAGACGGUGGUCCCGCCGGAGGACAAGAACAAGGCCACCCACCACUCCAACCGCCUCAAGGGCCGCCAGGGCUAA
rnacentral:rRNA from 1 species